rnacentral:rRNA from 1 species
AGAGUUUGAUCAUGGCUCAGGAUGAACGCCGGCGGUGUGCCUAAUACAUGCAAGUCGUACGCGUUGGCCCAACUGAUUGAACGUGCUUGCACGGACUUGACGUUGGUUUACCAGCGAGUGGCGGACGGGUGAGUAACACGUAGGUAACCUGCCCCAAAGCGGGGGAUAACAUUUGGAAACAGAUGCUAAUACCGCAUAACAAUUUGAAUCGCAUGAUUCAAAUUUAAAAGAUGGUUUCGGCUAUCACUUUGGGAUGGACCUGCGGCGCAUUAGCUUGUUGGUAGGGUAACGGCCUACCAAGGCUGUGAUGCGUAGCCGAGUUGAGAGACUGAUCGGCCACAAUGGAACUGAGACACGGUCCAUACUCCUACGGGAGGCAGCAGUAGGGAAUCUUCCACAAUGGGCGCAAGCCUGAUGGAGCAACACCGCGUGAGUGAAGAAGGGUUUCGGCUCGUAAAGCUCUGUUGUUAGAGAAGAACGUGCGUGAGAGCAACUGUUCACGCAGUGACGGUAUCUAACCAGAAAGUCACGGCUAACUACGUGCCAGCAGCCGCGGUAAUACGUAGGUGGCAAGCGUUAUCCGGAUUUAUUGGGCGUAAAGCGAGCGCAGGCGGUUUGAUAAGUCUGAUGUGAAAGCCUUUGGCUUAACCAAAGAAGUGCAUCGGAAACUGUCAGACUUGAGUGCAGAAGAGGACAGUGGAACUCCAUGUGUAGCGGUGGAAUGCGUAGAUAUAUGGAAGAACACCAGUGGCGAAGGCGGCUGUCUGGUCUGCAACUGACGCUGAGGCUCGAAAGCAUGGGUAGCGAACAGGAUUAGAUACCCUGGUAGUCCAUGCCGUAAACGAUGAGUGCUAGGUGUUGGAGGGUUUCCGCCCUUCAGUGCCGCAGCU